rnacentral:rRNA from 1 species
UACGGGAGGCAGCAGUGGGGAAUAUUGCACAAUGGGCGCAAGCCUGAUGCAGCCAUGCCGCGUGUAUGAAGAAGGCCUUCGGGUUGUAAAGUACUUUCAGUCGUGAGGAAGGUGUUAAGGUUAAUAACCUUAGCAAUUGACGUUAGCGACAGAAGAAGCACCGGCUAACUCCGUGCCAGCAGCCGCGGUAAUACGGAGGGUGCGAGCGUUAAUCGGAAUUACUGGGCGUAAAGGGCACGCAGGCGGUUAAUUAAGUUGGAUGUGAAAUCCCCGGGCUUAACCUGGGAAUGGCAUUCAAGACUGGUUAGCUAGAGUCUUGUAGAGGGGGUAGAAUUCCAUGUGUAGCGGUGAAAUGCGUAGAGAUGUGGAGGAAUACCGGUGGCGAAGGCGGCCCCUGGGACAAAGACUGACGCUCAUGUGCGAAAGCGUGGGGAGCAAACAGGGAUUUAGAUACC